AUACGGAGGAUGCGAGCGUUAUCCGGAUUUAUUGGGUUUAAAGGGAGCGUAGGUGGGAUAUUAAGUCAGCUGUGAAAGUUUGGGGCUCGACCUUAAAAUUGCAGUUGAUACUGGUUUCCUUGAGUACGGUACAGGUGGGCGGAAUUCGUGGUGUAGCGGUGAAAUGCUUAGAUAUCACGAAGAACUCCGAUCGCGAAGGCAGCUCACCGGGCCGGAACUGACACUGAUGCUCGAAAGUGCGGGUAUCAAACAGGAUUAGAUACCCUGGUAGUCCGCACAGUAAACGAUGAAUACUCGCUGUUUGCGAUACACGGUAAGCGGCCAAGCGAAAGCGUUAAGUAUUCCACCUGGGGAGUACGCCGGCAACGGUGAAACUCAAAUGAAUUGACGGG
rnacentral:rRNA from 1 species